ACCAUUUUUUACUUGCUUGUGUCAGUUUCAGAUGAUACUUUGAGAAUUAGCAUAUCUAAUUCUGUUUGUGAUGUUGGUUUGAGAAUUAUAUCUAACUUGGUUAAUGUCGUUGUGCAAAGAAUUAGAUCUGCAAUCUGUUUGUGAUAAUACUUUGAAAAUAUGUAUUGCUAGUAGCAGUGGUAACAUAUCUAUAUGAAAAUAUGCAUAAACUGGUGUUGGUGUUCUAGUUACUAAGUAUAUGAUAACUAGGUAGCAUUUGACAACUAGUUAGCUACUAAAAAAAACUUCAAUUUACUGCAGAAAAUGCAGCAUUUGAUAACUAGGUAGCUACUAAAAAAAACUUCAAUUUACUGCAGAAAAUGCAGCAUUUGAUAACUAGGUAGCAGUGGUAACAUAUCUGUAUGAAAAUAUGCAUAAACUGGUGUUGGUGUUCUAGCUACUAAGUAUAUGAUAACUAGGUAGCAUUUGAUAACUAGGUAGGUACUAAAAAAAACUUCAAUUUACUACAGAAAAUGCAGCAUUUGAUAACUAGGUAGCUACUAAAAAAAACUUCAAUUUACUGCAGAAAAUGCAGCAUUUGAUAACUAGUUAGCAGUGGUAACAUAUCUAUAUGAAAAUAUGCAUAAACUGGUGUUGGUAUUCUAGCUACUAAGUAUAUGAUAACUAGGUAGCAUUUGAUAACUAGGUAGCUACUAAAAAAAACUUCAAUUUACUGCAGAAAAUGCAGCAUUUGAUAACUAGGUAGCAGCUA